UCAAGUCGCCGCCGUUUCCCCCUCCGCGCCGGGCCCUUCUCGGCGCCGCGCGGCGGCGGCGGUGGCGGAUGCGAAGGCGCAUGUCUACGUGGAAGCCGGCGGACGGUGGCGAGGGGAUCCCCGCUGCCCCGCGCUUGUGGUUGUGCAUCGCCGCGUAACCUGCUGUGAAUGAGUUGGUUAGACUGACCGAGGCAAGCGGGAGUCGUGUGCCGUUCACCACGUGUUCGACGAAAUGCGCCCAGGAAGCUUUGAGGUUCCGCAGAUUUCUAGUGUGGCACGAGUAGGAUUCUUCGGAUGAUCUUCGCGAUGGUUAUUUUGGUGUGGGCUUUUUUUUUUUCGCAUAGAGGAGUGAUAAAUUGGGAAAACACGGGUGGUAAUUUCCGUUAGUUUUAUGUGGUAAGCUGUUUUUGUGCCUCAUAGAUGCCUGCUAGUGACGCGUAAGGAUGUGGAGCAUGAAUAUUGUAGCGCUGCACGUAUGUACACAUCAUACACUCGUACAUAUUUUCUUUUAUGAAAUCUAAGUACAUUUUUUUUAAGCUGUGUGGUUUGUGGAGAUUUGGAGAAGAUGACUUCUCUGUGAUUCCAACUUGCUCCUGCAAAUCUGGCAACCUUGAGUUAUCUGCCUGUUUUACCAACGAAGCUACUGGUGUCUUGUCAACCUUAUCUCCAACAUCUUGAACUAGUGGUAGGUAUAUACAGAACAUCUCCAUUCCAUUACGUGAUAGAAGUUAUGUUUUAUUUUUUCUCCGUGAUGUGUAUUAUUGCUGAAUCGCUAAGGGUGCUUAUUUGAGUUAGGAUAGGUGGCAGGUUUUCUACUUCUGGACAGAGAUAUGUCUGUUUUGUUUUCUUUGGUUGAAAGAGGUAUUCAGAGUUCAGUUUUAUAGCUUGGACUUGGGGUAAGUAGUGCUCCCUGGAAACACAAUACGUGUCGUAUUGGACAUGGAAGCGACUCUUAUACACGAAAUGGAGCAUUAAUUCAUAUUUUAAUAUAUAUGUGAAAUAAACAAUAUUUUCAAGCACAUUUCAGGAUAAAUCUGCUGAGAUCUUUUUCACAUGUUCCAUUAAUCAAUCUCAAUAUGCAGAAGUCAUCACUGGAGGAAGUUAAAAAAAAAUGUUGAUUUCAUGCAUUCUGGAUACCAUUAUUAUGGCUGGAGGGAGUACCAGAGUUAUUUGUAAGUUUUGUUAUCGCUAGCUUAAGCACAUUCAAACCUCAGGAUCAAUUUCAUUGUUUGCUUAAUGUGCUAGAAAGAAAUAAAGAAUGUUAUUUAGGUCAUAUUCAUUUUAUAUGUAUGCUCUGCCCAGUGAAAUAUGCAACGAUAGUAAGCCUAAAUAUAUUGCAACUAAUGCCCACAUGUUUUUCUGCUCCUCUUUGUUCCUAGCAGGCAUGCAUUUUCACAAUUGAGGAUACGGUGAAAUUUAUUUUCGGUAACUUAUUAUGAAAAUCUAGAUGAGCUACUUUUCUUAAGCUGAGGUAGUUAUUAGUUCAAAGCUACAUCAUAUUGAGCAGAAUGCCCAAUAAUGCCUAUCUUUGUUACGGGGUGGUAGGGUCCAGAUUCUCUUUUAAGAAAAAUACAAAUGGUAGAAUACCAAAACAGAACAGUUUAUAGGAUGGUACUGACCUACCAGCAAAAAGAAUUAUUCAAAUUCAAUUCCUAUUAUUAUAUUCAUAUGCUAGAAAAACAUAAUUCUGACAAUUCUCCUCAUCCUAUCCAUUAGCUGGACUUGUCAGCAUCAUGUUUCUUCUCAGCAAACUGCUCCCUUCUCGGUUUACACCUGGCACAAAUGUUACUUGACUAGAUCUAUUAUAUGAGUGCCUCUAAAAGUUUCAGAACUUUUGUGUAGAUUCAAAUAUUAGUUUUGCUUGUUCUAUAAUAUUUUCAUUUUUUUGGGUCUUUCGAAUUAUUCGCAAAAUCUGACAGGAAAGAGUUGUAUGCGAUGUAUCCUCGUAUUGUGAUGCUUCUUUCUUUCCCAAAUAAAUCAAAAUGUGCUGAUGGUAAAGAAUCAUGUGGCAUGUGAAGAAUGUUCUCGUGAGAAGUCUUAACGGCAUAACUUUCUGCAGAGCAGUAGUGCAUUUCAUAUUUGCUGUUCGUGAUUUUUUUUAUUUGCAGCUUUGAAUUUUGAAGGUGUAAAAUUAAACAUCUAUAUAUAGAGCCAUGGCAACUGUAGUUGAGAAACUUAUAGAGAAGUUCAUACUGUUCUAAACUUUCCACUCCCACACCCACGACUCCUAGAUUUAUGCUUGUUUCCCUUUCCCAUAAUAUAUUAAUAUUAUUAGUUUCUGACUUCACCUGAUCUGUCAUUCACGCCUAACAUAAUCUUGAAAUCUUGUGGUAUGGCAUUUAGCCCCCAAAUAAGUGGCUGUGGCUCAACCCUUCAUCCUACCCCUAGGUUACCUUAUCCACUAGCUCACAGUUAGUGUAUUCGCUGUUUCCGUCUGUCCUUUUGUUGUCUCUUUUAAAGCAUCCUGUUGAUGCGGACGUGUGCUACUUGCAUCCACUUAUUGCAUGUUUUGGUGAUCACAUACUCAUCUUACGAUAUUAUCCAAGUAAAACCUAAAUAAGAUGGUGCCUCUGAAAAUAAAAUUUUCCAUUAUAGUCUUUUUGGGGAUGUGUUCUGCAUUUUGACCUUUUUUCAAUUAUUCAUGCCAGUGUUACCAUAGGACUUUUCUCAUUUGAUUGUAAAAUUUGAUAUCUGUCUUGAUCAUCUUUUAACUCUAUUUUCACAACAGAAGACCCCAGAGGUAUUUUAUUUUCUCAAAUGUCAUGGCCUAUAUUUUUCCUAUUAAAUUAGGGAAAGGUGCAAGAGUGGAAAAAGGAAGUGAUAGUUUAGAUCUUUCUAUUACUUUCAUCUAACUGAGUGCCAUUGAGAAGCUCAGUGCACUAUCCUGACUAUGCAAGUAAAUUUCUGCUUUUGUUAGAAGCGAUUGGCAUGAUUAUCAUACUUCAGCCUGCACUUGAUGUUCUUCAUUCAUAACUAUUUAGUUUAUUUUGGUCUCAACUAUACGUGUUUUUUGGAUUUUGUAUUUCUCUUUUUUACCUUUAUGUUUAAAUAAGUUUUUGAGGUCAUAAAUUCAGAACUAGCAGAUGUUAUUUGUUGCUUGAAUCUUUAGAGAGAGUUGAUCUAGCAUGUUAGGAAACAGUACAUCUUCUGGUUUUAUUCUUGAUAAAUUGUUGGAUUGUGACAGCAGGCCUUCAAAACUAAACGCUUACUGUUUGACAUUGCAUCAUGCUUAUGCUAUUUACUUUUUCUGUACUGGCCUAUUAUGUUUGUACUGUAAUGUUUAUUAUACAUAUAUACAUCUCACAUGAUCCCCUCACCCACAUAAACACACACACGAGGGUCCAUGUAGGCAUGGAGCACAGUGUCUUUUUGCACAAAGCCAUGAUCCCAUUGGAUUUGCAGAGCCUUCUGAAAGCUACAUUUUUGUUGGGCACAAGUCUAUCAUUGAGCUGGGUGCCUUACAUCUUGUGACAGUAAAUGAAUUACUGUCACACACUCGCUCUCUCUCCAGGAGUGAUUCAAAACUAUAUACGUAUACACCUUAACCAUCAUACAGCCAGAAUCUGGCUGUGUUUGCGCAAACAUUAUCCAUCUGUACGAAUGGUAGUUUGAGCGCAGUCUGAAAUUUUCAUCUAUGUACUUCUGUGUGAACAUCUAGCAUGGCCUAUCUCAAUUGACAGAUUAGCAAAAAGCUGUUAUUUGGCUUACAUACUAUAUCUAACUCUGAUUCUGUGGCAUUUUUCUUGCACAUUGCAAGUGAGAUGAAAAUAAUCUAUGGAGUCCAGUGAAAUUUCACAUAUUAGGAGUCAUUUUCUAACAGAUUUAUCCUGUACCUGUCAAUUCCACUAAGUCAAGAGGAUCUAGCAUGCAUGUCUUGUACAAUACCAUGUGAAACUACUACAGUUAGUGUGUUGUCUAUACAUGUUUGAAAGUUUAGACAUUACUCUGAGGUUGCGGUAGGUUUCAUAGAAUAAGCUAACUUGUAGUAAGUUAAAUAUGUUUCAUUAGGAUCAUUCUCGUCCUAAUUGCCCAAGUUCUCUAAGUGAAGUUCUGAUGCCUGUCCAGGUUGCUCAUCAAUGAAUGAAGAAGCAAGGACAAGUACUAAUUGCUGCAUCGGAGCAUCAUUUUGCUCACCUUUUGAUCUGACAUUAUGCUAAUAGUCCAUUAAAGUGCUUGUUUGUAGAUAAUAUACUGCAUUACCAAACUGAUCAAAUUACUGAGCUAAUCCAUAGCUAAUGGAUGCAUGCGUUCUCCUUGCACGCAUCCUCUGUGUAAUCUCUGGAUGGCGCUGGAUCCAAUGUCCAAAAGACAACCUCUGCAUUCCGUCUGAAAUUCAGAUGAUUCAGAACUUUGGAACUAUGCCUGAUAAAUCUUGUGCAGAGCAAGGUGGAAAGGUGAGUGGAGAGGUGUGCUCGUGAGUAUGUUGAAACCUUAUGCUCCUCCCCAAAUAAAACUACAUGCGGCCCAGCUGAGAUUUGGCACCCACCAUGGAUCCCUCUGCACCUACUUCUUCCAAAGCUCACUGCAGGCUGAUCGGUUGAUCGGGCAGCCCUGUCAAUUUCUCUAUUCUUUUGUAGGUAUGGCAUCUAUUGCUGUGAUGAUCUAUACAAUUCAUCUGACCAUGAGAGCGUGGUGCACGUACAUACAGAAGUGAUCAGUGGGCACGGCCUUGCUGCGCGCAGCCUGCCUGCCUGCCUGCCCCUCUUGCUCAAAUCUGCACCAUUAGCUAGCCUGUUUGUCCCCACGCUGCUGUUUGUCCUCAAUGGGGAUCACGAGAGUGUGGAGGAACAAGUUGCCCAGAUUUUGGCCGCACACCCAUGGAAGGUUGUGUGCUUGUCAUGUGGGAAGAGCCGUCACUUUCAGGGUUUAAGCAGUUUCUGCUUCUCUCCUGCCCAUAUGUGAUUGUGAGAUUAUCAAGAGGCAGGUAUGGCCAUUUUCUUGCAUGUUAGGGAGAUGCUGCGAUGUCGUUAUAGCUAAUGAGCUUUGCCCUCUUUGAAUGAUGAAAGGGUAAGCUGUUGGUUGAAUGGUCAGAGAGAUGUAGAUCGGCAAGCAAGUGUACUAUGUCCUGUUUCAAAGUCAUGGAGAGGUUUUGGCACAUAUACGCGUAUGGCCAUGGCUAGCAUGAUCCGUAGAAUUAGGAGAAUAUUUUUUUGCAUUCGUAAUGCACAACUAUCACGAUACCUGGUUUGAUGUUUGUGCCAGCGCAGAAAACACUUGUUGAUCAAAGUGAGGUUUUUCUUUCAGAUAAUCUCAGGAGCUCUGACGCGUUCACUUAAGAAACGGUGUGGGCACUCAAUACACCCUGCCAACAGAGCGCCUGCUCGAUCCUGAUUUCAGUGAAACUUUGAUAGUGCCACAAGGUACUUGCUCUAGCUCACUCUCUCCUAAUAAUUUUUUUUGAAAGAUGCACUCUCUCCUAAUAAUAACAGGCCAAUGCUAGCUUGAUUUAGCUGUGGACUAUGGUAGAGGCAAAGCUAGUACUCCAUUCUGUUUGGCUGUUUGCUGCUGUCACUAAAUCCAAAAGGCAUGCUUGCAUGGGCCCCAAGGCGCAGGAAUUGUCUCAUAGAGAGGGGAGAGAGGGGAUUCGGAGGGUGUGUUUGGCCUCAGUGAGACCUAUCGAUGAUCCAGCUGCUGAAAUCACUCAGAUCCUGCACAGGACUCCGACCACUCUGAAGCACUCCAGCUUUUGUUCAACUGAUCUGUCGUUUAUACCUCGGUACGGCAACGUGCAUGUCCCUAAUUGCAAGAGAGAGCUAGGAGAACAUCGAUGGCAUGUGAGAGUUAGUUAGAUAUCUAACCCUAGAUGUGACCAUGUCAUGGUACCAAGUGACCUACUAGACGUACAAUAAUUGCUGAUAGACUGGCUUUCUUAUCUGGGAAUGGUGUAAUUUAUAAUAGACUGUUCCUUAAAAGGCUCAAACAUCUU